rnacentral:lncRNA from 13 species
ACAGAAAGUACAGCAGACAUGCUCUGUACCAAACAUGAUGGCGCUGUUGCCUGUUCUCCUCUCCCCUCGCCUUCACCAGUCCUUACUGAAGCAUGCUUGUGUUUUCUCUGUUGGUAUUGGUCAAUUCAAGGCAGCAUCAAAGUCUGUGAACCCCACCAAGAUUUGAAUGACUCCAUCUUAACCUAGGAGAAGAAGGUAUUAUCAGCCUUACUUUAGAGACAAGAAAAGAGAGGAUCUGAGAUUCUAAGAGCCAAGCCCCAAGGUUAGAGACUUGUUUUAACAAUUCAGGUAAGAACUGAACUUGGCUCUCUCUGAAGUCAAAGUCACAAUCUCUUUACUAAGCCAACACCACAAUUUGUGCUCAAUGCAUUCUGUUAGACACCUGCAAUCUCUAAUUCUAUUAAAAAUGUUUAUAAGAUGAAAUAAACUAAUUUCUUACUAG